UGACCCGGUGGGUAUUAGAUAUCACUGGGGUUCAGAUGUUGACCCGGUAGGUAUUAGAUAUCACUGGGGUUCUGACAGAUGUUGACCCGGUGGGUAUUAGAUAUCACUGGGGUUCUGACAGAUGUUGACCCGGUGGGUAUUAGAUAUCACUGGGGUUCUGACAGAUGUUGACCCGGUAGGUAUUAGAUAUCACUGGGGUUCAGAUGUUGACCCGGUAGGUAGUAGAUAUCACUGGGGUUCUGACAGAUGUUGACCCGGUGGGUAUUAGAUAUCACUGGGGUUCUGACAGAUGUUGACCCGGUAGGUAUUAGAUAUCACUGGGGUUCAGAUGUUGACCCGGUAGGUAUUAGAUAUCACUAGGGUUCAGACAGAUAUUGACCCGGUAGGUAUUAGAUAUCACUGGGGUUCAGAUGUUGACCCGGUAGGUAUUAGAUAUCACUAGGGUUCAGAUGUUGACCCGGUAGGAAUUAGAUAUCACUGGGGUUCAGAUGUUGACCCGGUAGGUAUUAGAUAUCACUGGGGUUCAGAUGUUGACCCGGUAGGUAUUAGAUAUCACUGGGGUUCAGAUGUUGACCCGGUGGGUAUUAGAUAUCACUGGGGUUCUGACAGAUGUUGACCCGGUGGGUAUUAGAUAUCACUGGGGUUCUGACAGAUGUUGACCCGGUAGGUAUUAGAUAUCACUGGGGUUCUGACAGAUGUUGACCCGGUGGGUAUUAGAUAUCACUGGGGUUCUGACAGAUGUUGACCCGGUAGGUAUUAGAUAUCACUGGGGUUCUGACAGAUGUUGACCCGGUGGGUAUUAGAUAUCACUGGGGUUCUGACAGAUGUUGACCCGGUGGGUAGUAGAUAUCACUGGGGUUCUGACAGAUGUUGACCCGGUAGGUAUUAGAUAUCACUGGGGUUCUGACAGAUGUUGACCCGGUAGGUAUUAGAUAUCACUGGGGUUCUGACAGAUGUU